AUGCGUUCUUAUCCGACAAUACAGCCACCCGCGGCGAGGCUUUGGUUUUUAACCAAUCAGCUUGCAGCAGUACUGAUCAGGCACGGAUCCCUGUACUAGCGAGCAGACCACGAGCAGUUGCGUUAUUUUUCGUUGUCUGUUCUGGCAAUCGGCCGGCGGAUGAACAUCCGCAAUCGAAACUUGAAAUCCGUCGCGCUGAUUGGUGAUGAGUUUCAUGAGCUACUUUCAUGAGGUCUAUGAAAGUAAACCUAUGCUAUGCCCUGAACAGAUGACAUCUCGUUUGGUAGCCAAUUGCUAAAAUGUAUUUUUAUCUUACGCAAGGCAGUAUACCAUAUUUUAUACCGUGGCUCUGAUCCGAAAUCAGGGCAUUUUUGUUCGAACAAAUACCUAUAACGAUGAAGAAGUGCGUGAUCCGCGGAGCAAUUAACGACCUACGUCGGGUCGGGGUUAUAUGGCCUUGGGGUCGGGACUGAUAUGCGUGUGACUGUGCACAAACUUGUGACAAGUUCCCGCUAAAAAAAAAGAAGUACAGAGAAAAGUGGAUGAGGGUGUGUGGCAUGACCAAUGAGCCAAGACCACAUGACCACUUAAACUUAACAAGAAGUGCGCACCAUGAUAAGCACAGUCAAAAACGUUUGCGUCUAAAGAACAGUGCUGUGCCGGAUCAGAAUAUUCCGUAUACGCCUUGGGUUGCUGUCGCUGCUCGGUCACCCACAGAUGAAAGUGAUCAAGAAAUGGACAUCACUCAGGUGUGGGAUCACUCGUGGAAGUUCACGGCGGAUACGGAGCCGUGCAUGCAGCUCUGGUUCGAUCCUGCUCAGGGAAGCCCCAAUGACGCCGUGGCGCGUAUCUGGGCUGAGCGGGUGGUGGCGGGCGCUGCCGCGUGGCUGGUGGCCGCGGCCCGCUCCUGACCCGGUCGCCCUGUGCCGAGCACAGAGCGCCGACUGAGGUCAGUCUUGUGAUCGAGCUUCCGCGCCGGAGGUGGAACAGCUGGAGCUGGCGGUCACCUGCGCGGGCUCGGCGGCCUGUAAGCCGUGCCGAGACGAACCGCGACACUCUUGCUAGAUCUGCACCCCAUUGUAAUCUUCUGUAGUCGAUAUUCGGUAGGUACUCAAUGCUCAUUUUUCUGAUAUUAGACGAGUGGCGUGUUUUGAUGUUACAUUGGAGACUGCUGUCUCGGGUGGCCCGACAGUGUUCGAUUGUGGUGUAAUGUAGAUACAUAGACGGGAUGCCGCGGCUCGGAUUCGUAGCUGGACUACCAUGUGCCUGUCGAUUGAGAUGCUUUGCCUGGCGAUUGAGAUGAUUCGGGGCGCGGCCCCACACUGACGCCAUGGUGCAAUGAGUGACUGGCGACAACUAAGCAAUUAUGUACUUUUGUAGAACACAUGUUUUCAUGGAUACUAGAGGCAGUCCUUUUUUCGCUAGCAGUCAUUUGGUUCACGAUACUUUCGAUACCGACAAAUAUGUUCGGGCGGCCGGUCCGUCCACAGCUAAUGCGUGCUUGCCCGCCGAUGCCUAACGGAGCGCUGUGCUGUCUACGCUCACUGGUCGCUGGCCCGAGAGCCGUUCGGUUGCUGCUGUUAAAACAGUUCUCACAAAAACACGCUGGCUGGCUGCCAGUUCUUCACCAAUGAGAGGCCCAGUAGCAUCAGCAGGUAGCAUUGUUUAAUAUUACUAUUCCAUUUUGUUUACCCAUAUGUCCGACCUAGAGCCGACUGGUAAAAAGCGGCAACCGAGCAGCCCUCCGCAGCGCUGCAGAUCAUGUACGCUCGAUUAUACACAAUAUAUGUGUCUUUCUUGCACACAGAGACAUGA